AAACCACAGGAUGUAGCUGGAAAUGGCUGAGUUGUUCAUUACCAACCAGGAUGCCGAUGAUCCUGGUGUGUCCAACUUUACGCCUUGAAAUUUGGUUCACCGAGAUAUUUUCGAGGGCUUCUGCUGAAGAUGCCUACUGAUGGGAUUGCGGGAUUUUCUAAGGAGACCGUUUGAGCUCUGCUCAUUUCCUUUCUCCUAUGUCUCAUCUAAGACUCUUCCUGGAUUGAUCCCUGCAUUGUUCACCUUCUUUGAUGGUUGCUGUUGCUGUGGAAACAGGACUGUUGUUGAGACAGUUUGAUAAAAUGAUGAAGCGGAAGAAGAAACAGCUGUCCAAGAAGAGGGCUGAAGCCUCGCAGGUUCCUGAUUUCAGUCCUUCCCUUGCUCUUACUUGGGAUGGAGGGCAGCUGUGGUCCCAGCGGAGGGCCUCGCUGCUCACAGGGACCGCUAGACGGGGGAUGGGACUCACCACUGUGGGUUUUCAACUUCAGAGUGCAAGGUAACAGGUGAGAAUUUUAACUUGGUUAAUCCAGAAUCUCAAUGGCAGAAUAAGGCCCAGAUCA